rnacentral:rRNA from 1 species
AUUGAACGCUGGCGGCAUGCCUUACACAUGCAAGUCGAACGGCAGCAUAGGAGCUUGCUCCUGAUGGCGAGUGGCGAACGGGUGAGUAAUAUAUCGGAACGUGCCCUAGAGUGGGGGAUAACUAGUCGAAAGACUAGCUAAUACCGCAUACGAUCUACGGAUGAAAGUGGGGGAUCGCAAGACCUCAUGCUCCUGGAGCGGCCGAUAUCUGAUUAGCUAGUUGGUGGGGUAAAAGCCUACCAAGGCGACGAUCAGUAGCUGGUCUGAGAGGACGAGCAGCCAAACUGGGACUGAGACACGGCCCAGACUCCUACGGGAGGCAGCAGUGGUGAAUUUUGGACAAUGGGGGCAACCCUGAUCCAGCAAUGCCGCGUGAGUGAAGAAGGCCUUCGGGUUGUAAAGCUCUUUUGUCAGGGAAGAAACGGUAGUAGCUAAUAUCUACUACUCAUGACGGUACCUGAAGAAUAAGCACCGGCUAACUACGUGCCAGCCGCCGCCGUAA